rnacentral:rRNA from 1 species
UACGGAAGGCAGCAGUGGGGAAUAUUGCACAAUGAGCGAAAGCCUGAUGCAGCUAUGCCGCGUGUAUGAAGAAGGCCUUAGGGUUGUAAAGUACUUUCAUCGGGGAGGAAAAACAAAACUAAUAAUUUUAUUUCUUGACGUUACCCGAAAAAGAAGCACCGGCUAACUCCGUGCCAGCAGCCGCGGUAAUACGGAGGGUGCUAGCGUUAAUCAGAAUUACUGGGCGUAAAGAGCACGUAGGUGGUUUUUUAAGUCAGAUGUGAAAUCCCUGGGCUUAACCUAGGAACUGCAUUUUGAAACUGAAAUACUAGAGUAUCGUAGAGGGAGGUAGAAUUCUAGGUGUAGCGGUGAAAUGCGUAGAUAUCUGGAGGAAUACCUGUGGCGAAAGCGGCCUCCUAAACGAAUACUGACACUGAGGUGCGAAAGCGUGGGGAGCAAACAGGGAUUAGAUACC